UAUAUACUCCUUCCGUUCGGAAUUACUUGUCUCGGAAAUGGAUGUAUCUAGAACUAAAAUACGUCUAGAUACAUCCAUUUCUGCGACAAGUAAUUCCGAACGGAGGGAGUAUGUU
rnacentral:pre_miRNA from 1 species